GACGAACGCUGGCGGCGUGCUUAACACAUGCAAGUCGAACGGAAAGGCCCUGCUUUUGUGGGGUGCUCGAGUGGCGAACGGGUGAGUAACACGUGAGUAACCUGCCCUUGACUUUGGGAUAACUUCAGGAAACUGGGGCUAAUACCGGAUAGGAGCUCCUGCUGCAUGGUGGGGGUUGGAAAGUUUCGGCGGUUGGGGAUGGACUCGCGGCUUAUCAGCUUGUUGGUGGGGUAGUGGCUUACCAAGGCUUUGACGGGUAGCCGGCCUGAGAGGGUGACCGGCCACAUUGCGACUGAGAUACGGCGCAGACUCCUACGGGAGGCAGCAGUGGGGAAUAUUGCACAGUGGGCGGAAGCCUGAUGCAGCAACGCCGCGUGCGGGAUGACGGCCUUCGGGUUGUAAACCGCUUUCGCCUGUGACGAAGCGUGAGUGACGGUAAUGGGUAAAGAAGCACCGGCUAACUACGUG
rnacentral:rRNA from 1 species